rnacentral:rRNA from 1 species
UCAAAUCAGGUAGGACUACCCGCUGAACUUAAGCAUAUCANUAAGCGGAGGAAAAGAAACUANCAAGGAUUCCCCUAGUAACUGCGAGUGAAGCGGGAAAAGCUCAAAUUUAAANUCUGGUAGUCUUUGGCUGCCCGAGUUGUAAUCUAGAGAAGUGUUAUCCGCGCUGGACCGUGUACAAGUCUCCUGGAAUGGAGCGUCAUAGAGGGUGAGAAUCCCGUCUUUGACACGGGCUGCCAGGGCUUUGUGAUGCGCUCUCAAAGAGUCGAGUUGUUUGGGAAUGCAGCUCUAAAUGGGUGGUAAAUUCCAUCUAAAGCUAAAUAUUGGCGAGAGACCGAUAGCGAACAAGUACCGUGAGGGAAAGAUGAAAAGAACUUUGGAAAGAGAGUUAAACAGUACGUGAAAUUGUUGAAAGGGAAACGCUUGAAGUCAGUCGCGUUGGCCGGGGAUCAACCUUGCUUUUCUGCUUGGUGUACUUCCUGGUUGAUGGGUCAGCAUCAAUUUUGACCAGUGGAAAAAGGUCAGGGGAAUGUGGCAUCUUCGGAUGUGUUAUAGCCCUUGGUUGCAUACAUUGGUUGGGAUUGAGGAACUCAGCACGCCGCAAGGCCGGGUUUUUACCACGUUCGUGCUUAGGAUGCUGGCAUAAUGGCUUUAAUCGACC